rnacentral:rRNA from 1 species
AACGAACGCUGGCGGCAUGCCUAACACAUGCAAGUCGAACGAGACCUUCGGGUCUAGUGGCGCACGGGUGCGUAACGCGUGGGAACCUGCCCUUAGGUUCGGAAUAACUCCCCGAAAGGGGUGCUAAUACCGGAUAAUGUCUUCGGACCAAAGAUUUAUCGCCUUUGGAUGGGCCCGCGUUGGAUUAGCUAGUUGGUAGGGUAAAAGCCUACCAAGGCGACGAUCCAUAGCUGGUCUGAGAGGAUGAUCAGCCACACUGGGACUGAGACACGGCCCAGACUCCUACGGGAGGCAGCAGUGGGGAAUAUUGGACAAUGGGCGAAAGCCUGAUACAGCAAGGCCGCGAGAGUGAUGAAGGCCUUAGGAUUGUAAAGCUCUUUUACCCGGGAUGAUAAUGACAGAACCGGGAGAAUAAGCUCCGCCUAACUCCGU